rnacentral:rRNA from 1 species
GGUUAAGCGACUAAGCGUACACGGUGGAUGCCCUGGCAGUCAGAGGCGAUGAAGGACGUGCUAAUCUGCGAUAAGCGUCGGUGAGGUGAUAUGAACCGUUAUAACCGGCGAUUUCCGAAUGGGGAAACCCAGUGUGUUUCGACACACUAUCAUUAACUGAAUCCAUAGGUUAAUGAGGCGAACCGGGGGAACUGAAACAUCUAAGUACCCCGAGGAAAAGAAAUCAACCGAGAUUCCCCCAGUAGCGGCGAGCGAACGGGGAGCAGCCCAGAGCCUGAAUCAGUGUGUGUGUUAGUGGAAGCGUCUGGAAAGGCGCGCGAUACAGGGUGACAGCCCCGUACACAAAAAUGCACAUACUGUGAGCUCGAUGAGUAGGGCGGGACACGUGGUAUCCUGUCUGAAUAUGGGGGGACCAUCCUCCAAGGCUAAAUACUCCUGACUGACCGAUAGUGAACCAGUACCGUGAGGGAAAGGCGAAAAGAACCCCGGCGAGGGGAGUGAAAAAGAACCUGAAACCGUGUACGUACAAGCAGUGGGAGCCUCUUAAUGGGGUGACUGCGUACCUUUUGUAUAAUGGGUCAGCGACUUAUAUUCUGUAGCAAGGUUAACCGAAUAGGGGAGCCGAAGGGAAACCGAGUCUUAACUGGGCGUUAAGUUGCAGGGUAUAGACCCGAAACCCGGUGAUCUAGCCAUGGGCAGGUUGAAGGUUGGGUAACACUAACUGGAGGACCGAACCGACUAAUGUUGAAAAAUUAGCGGAUGACUUGUGGCUGGGGGUGAAAGGCCAAUCAAACCGGGAGAUAGCUGGUUCUCCCCGAAAGCUAUUUAGGUAGCGCCUCGUGAAUUCAUCUCCGGGGGUAGAGCACUGUUUCGGCAAGGGGGUCAUCCCGACUUACCAACCCGAUGCAAACUGCGAAUACCGGAGAAUGUUAUCACGGGAGACACACGGCGGGUGCUAACGUCCGUCGUGAAGAGGGAAACAACCCAGACCGCCAGCUAAGGUCCCAAAGUCAUGGUUAAGUGGGAAACGAUGUGGGAAGGCCCAGACAGCCAGGAUGUUGGCUUAGAAGCAGCCAUCAUUUAAAGAAAGCGUAAUAGCUCACUGGUCGAGUCGGCCUGCGCGGAAGAUGUAACGGGGCUAAACCAUGCACCGAAGCUGCGGCAGCGACACUAUGUGUUGUUGGGUAGGGGAGCGUUCUGUAAGCCUGUGAAGGUGUACUGUGAGGUAUGCUGGAGGUAUCAGAAGUGCGAAUGCUGACAUAAGUAACGAUAAAGCGGGUGAAAAGCCCGCUCGCCGGAAGACCAAGGGUUCCUGUCCAACGUUAAUCGGGGCAGGGUGAGUCGACCCCUAAGGCGAGGCCGAAAGGCGUAGUCGAUGGGAAACAGGUUAAUAUUCCUGUACUUGGUGUUACUGCGAAGGGGGGACGGAGAAGGCUAUGUUGGCCGGGCGACGGUUGUCCCGGUUUAAGCGUGUAGGCUGGUUUUCCAGGCAAAUCCGGAAAAUCAAGGCUGAGGCGUGAUGACGAGGCACUACGGUGCUGAAGCAACAAAUGCCCUGCUUCCAGGAAAAGCCUCUAAGCAUCAGGUAACAUCAAAUCGUACCCCAAACCGACACAGGUGGUCAGGUAGAGAAUACCAAGGCGCUUGAGAGAACUCGGGUGAAGGAACUAGGCAAAAUGGUGCCGUAACUUCGGGAGAAGGCACGCUGAUAUGUAGGUGAAGUCCCUCGCGGAUGGAGCUGAAAUCAGUCGAAGAUACCAGCUGGCUGCAACUGUUUAUUAAAAACACAGCACUGUGCAAACACGAAAGUGGACGUAUACGGUGUGACGCCUGCCCGGUGCCGGAAGGUUAAUUGAUGGGGUUAGCGGUAACGCGAAGCUCUUGAUCGAAGCCCCGGUAAACGGCGGCCGUAACUAUAACGGUCCUAAGGUAGCGAAAUUCCUUGUCGGGUAAGUUCCGACCUGCACGAAUGGCGUAAUGAUGGCCAGGCUGUCUCCACCCGAGACUCAGUGAAAUUGAACUCGCUGUGAAGAUGCAGUGUACCCGCGGCAAGACGGAAAGACCCCGUGAACCUUUACUAUAGCUUGACACUGAACAUUGAGCCUUGAUGUGUAGGAUAGGUGGGAGGCUUUGAAGUGUGGACGCCAGUCUGCAUGGAGCCGGCCUUGAAAUACCACCCUUUAAUGUUUGAUGUUCUAACGUUGGCCCCUGACCGGGGUUGCGGACAGUGUCUGGUGGGUAGUUUGACUGGGGCGGUCUCCUCCUAAAGAGUAACGGAGGAGCACGAAGGUUGGCUAAUCCUGGUCGGACAUCAGGAGGUUAGUGCAAUGGCAUAAGCCAGCUUGACUGCGAGCGUGACGGCGCGAGCAGGUGCGAAAGCAGGUCAUAGUGAUCCGGUGGUUCUGAAUGGAAGGGCCAUCGCUCAACGGAUAAAAGGUACUCCGGGGAUAACAGGCUGAUACCGCCCAAGAGUUCAUAUCGACGGCGGUGUUUGGCACCUCGAUGUCGGCUCAUCACAUCCUGGGGCUGAAGUAGGUCCCAAGGGUAUGGCUGUUCGCCAUUUAAAGUGGUACGCGAGCUGGGUUUAGAACGUCGUGAGACAGUUCGGUCCCUAUCUGCCGUGGGCGCUGGAGAACUGAGGGGGGCUGCUCCUAGUACGAGAGGACCGGAGUGGACGCAUCACUGGUGUUCGGGUUGUCAUGCCAAUGGCACUGCCCGGUAGCUAAAUGCGGAAGAGAUAAGUGCUGAAAGCAUCUAAGCACGAAACUUGCCCCGAGAUGAGUUCUCCCUGACUCCUUGAGGGUCCUGAAGGAACGUUGAAGACGACGACGUUGAUAGGCCGGGUGUGUAAGCGCAGCGAUGCGUUGAGCUAACCGGUACUAAUGAACCGUGAGGCUUAACCUU